rnacentral:rRNA from 1 species
GACGAACGCUGGCGGCGUGCUUAACACAUGCAAGUCGAACGAAAAGGCCCUGCUUUUGCGGGUUGCUCGUUUGCCGCACGGGUGAGUAACACGUGUGUAUCCUCCCCUUGACUUUGUGAUAACUCCUGGAAACAGGGGCUCUUACCGCAUAGAAGCUCCUGCUGCGCGUGGGGGGUUGGAAAGUUUCGGCGGUGGGGGAUGGACUCGCGGCUUAUCCGCUUGUUGGGGGGGUAGGGGCUUACCAGGCCUUUGACGGGUAGCCGGCCUGAGAGGGUGACCGGCCACAUUGGGACUGAGAUACGGCCCAGACUCCUACGGGAGGCAGCAGUGGGGAAUAUUGCACAAUGGGCGGAAGCCUGAUGCAGCAACGCCGGGUGCGGGAUGACGGCCUUCGGGCUGUAAACCGCUUUCGCCUGUGACGAAGAGUGAGUGACGGUAAUGGGUAAAGAAGCACCGGCUAACUACGUG